AACGCACCUUGCGCUCCUCGGUAUUCCUUGGAGCAUGCCUGUUUGAGUAUCAUGAAAUCUUCAAGAUAGAUCUUUCGUUCGUUCGAUUGAUUUUAUUUUGGACUUGGAGGUCUUGCAGAUUCUCACAUCUGCUCCUCUCAAAUGCAUCAGCUGGAUCUCCGUGAGCUCGGUUCCACUCGGCGUGAUAAGUAAUUGCUCGCCGAGGACACUGUAAAAAGUGGGCCGGGUCCACAGAUGAACUGCUCCCGACCGUCCGUUAGCUUGGACGAUUGAACUUUUAUGAUCUGAUCUCAAAUCAGGUAGGAAUACCCGCUGAACUUAA
rnacentral:misc_RNA from 1 species